rnacentral:rRNA from 1 species
AGUGAACGCUGGCGGUAGGCCUAACACAUGCAAGUCGAACGGCAGCACAGUAAGAGCUUGCUCUUACGGGUGGCGAGUGGCGGACGGGUGAGGAAUACAUCGGAAUCUACUUUUUCGUGGGGGAUAACGUAGGGAAACUUACGCUAAUACCGCAUACGACCUACGGGUGAAAGCAGGGGAUCUUCGGACCUUGCGCGAUUGAAUGAGCCGAUGUCGGAUUAGCUAGUUGGCGGGGUAAAGGCCCACCAAGGCGACGAUCCGUAGCUGGUCUGAGAGGAUGAUCAGCCACACUGGAACUGAGACACGGUCCAGACUCCUACGGGAGGCAGCAGUGGGGAAUAUUGGACAAUGGGCGCAAGCCUGAUCCGGCCAUACCGCGUGGGUGAAGAAGGCCUUCGGGUUGUAAAGCCCUUUUGUUGGGAAAGAAAAGCAGCAGGUUAAGACCCCGCUGUUCUGACGGUACCCAAAGAAGAAGCACCGGCUAACUUCGU